rnacentral:lncRNA from 1 species
UGUAACUGAGGCUGCGAAAAGGAAGCACACAAAUCGACGCCAUUUUUCAACAGAUUAAGGUUUCUGAGCUCACGAAAUCCUAGUAUUAUUACUUUUAAUGGUUAGUAGAAAGAUAUUAAUACUAUCCAUAACAUGAUUUAUUGAUCUGAUCGGGUUAUGGCUACAUGUUUGCCUCUUUUCGAUUCUUAAAUCCAGUAAAUUUCCGUAGACCACAUGUAAAUAAACGCCCCUUUUCCAGCGUGAGACUUCAAUUUGAAUAAAACUUCAAUUUUGGCAGGUCAAUGUUAGCAUUUAAAUUUUAAUUAAAGUUUUACAGUUGUGUAAUGCAUAUGUGCUGAUUUGUUUGGUUGUCUCGAAUAGUAAAAAGGUUAAUAUUUUUAUUUUUGAACCCAAAAAGUGUGACAAAAAACACAAAAAAAACACAAAAUAAAAAUAUAGGAAAAAAAUAACUAUCCCCAGGAUAAAGGGGGUUUCCAACUAUAUGUCCCCAUUCAAAUGCAUUGAUCGUCCCCAAAAAAGGGAGAUUCCAAUCCCUGGAACCCUAUCCCUGGAUCUGCCACUGGGAACUAUGACUAUAUACAAUAUGUCUCUGAUAUAUAUGACUAUUAAAACGUAUAAAGAAUUAGAGAAUUGUUACUAAAGGAACAAGAAUAGAGAAAAUUUACCAUAAAAUAAGUAAAAAAAAAGAGCAAAUGACAUGCUAGCUGCGGAACCGUAGCUCUUAGGUCCUUAUGUUAUUUUUUGACUAUUUGCGGACCAUAGACUACUUUUUUUCUGGGACACCUUCCUAUGCAUCCCAGAAAAAAAAUCAAAAUAUUCCUAGCAGCAAGCCAGAGGUCUGGUCAUUAUCAUUUUGAACUUUUGAUGUGCUAAUUUAUAUAUUGAGGAAAGAAAAAAUUAUGGACAAAAAGUAUAAAAAAAAUAGAGACCAAUGAACUAAAAGAUUAAAUGAUAAAGAAAUGCAGAAGACCCCAUCCAGACCCUUGUCUAUGUGAACAACAGUACUAUUAUUUUUGCUCAAUAUUGCAUAUGGGCAUGUAAAAUCUAUAAUACUAAAAUUAGAAGGUCCAAUUUGUCAGCCGUCAUCACGUAAAAACGACGAAUCAAAUAAUUCAACUUUAUAUUUAACUAAUAUAGUACAAAAGUGUAGAUUAAAAAUUACACCACUCCAGGCCCUUUUGUUUUUGACGUAAUUAAUAUUGCCAAUAAUUAAGAAGUUCCGGUUCGAGUCCGAUACAGAUACCAAUAGUAUAUUCACCUGUUACCUAUUACCUUAUCUGUAUCCGCAUCUGACAGGCUAUGUCCCGCAUCUGUAUGUAUGUUCCGCAUCUGACAGGCUCACCACCAAACGGUGUAUUCAGGUAUUAUAUAUACAUAAUAUGCUAUAUACACGGUCAUAAUCACAGGGUUGACACUACUAAAUUGUCAAAUUGUUACCUAUUGUAGUAUUUUAAUCAGUAAGACUUUCAAAGAUAACAAAUCUGGACUAAAAAUAAGGCGUAUAGGUACAGUUUUCAAUUUGUUUGUGGGCAUGCAUGACAUAAAACAGCGAAUCAAAGAAUUCAACUUCAUUCAGAUGACAACUUGAAUACUAAUACUAAAAUAAGGCUUGCGCAUAGUUAUAUACUUUAAUUCAUUCACAGACCCGCGAUAUCACGGUGUUUUUCUAGUAUCUUUUAAAGAUUUCAGGUAUAUGAAAUAUUCACCAGUAGGAAAGUAUAAAUUCUGUCCCUCCUUCCAUGCUAAAAAAAAAUAUGUGAUUUAUUGUUGAAUUUUAUUGCCACCUUCAGUAUUGGCUAGGUGUUGUGGCCAGGUUUUAUUGGCAUUGGAUACAUUUAUUAUCAAUUACUGGUAUAAAGAAUUAAAGAUAUGAAUGAUUGAAUGAAAAGUUAUCUUUUAAAUAACAGAUACCUGUAAGAUAAUUUAAUGUUGCAUAUUAUGUUAUACUUUAUUUAAACAUUAUUUAUAUCUAUUAAAGAGGUUGAUAUGUUAUUAUGGUGAUGAAUUUUAAAUACUAAAGUAAAUGAAUUUAUAAGUAGAAAAUUUUUCCAAACAUCUGUUGGUGUGUAUAAGUAUUACCUUUUCUAGAGGACCUUUUUCGGGACGUCUGGAUUGGGUAUUUUUAGCUGAGGAUUUCGGAAUUGAUCCUUCGGAUUCCAGUAUUUCCUUUCAACAUUUUUUUUUAAAUUGGGACCUCAGAAGAGCAUGUUUUUGUCAGUAGACAAUUAAAAUAUAUUAUAAUUUACCGAUCAUAUAGCAACUCUAGAGAAGUUUGAAAUUAUAUUUAUUUGAUAAUAUCAUCUGCAUAAAUUAUAUAUUUUCAGAUAACAAUAGGAAUAAGAAGAGCAGGAUUUCUAUAUUGAGGAUUUACAUGUAUGGGACAGAGGACUAUUUGGCUUGAUUUUACUUUAAAAAACUUUUUAAUUUUAACAAUAGUUCUCCUUAAUUGUUUAAAAUACUUUUUACAUAUUUUUCAUUUUAACAUUAUUUUUAUGACUUUGUAUUUAUUCAUCACUUAAUAAACUUUUAUUUCUAAACAUUUUUAUAUUUUCAAAUAUAUACAAUGUGAAACACUCCACCAUUUUAUAUUGAUAACGUGGGGUAAAUGUACAUGAGACACUAAACUGUUGCAAUACAAUAUUACUUAAUGUCAUUGAAAAACCUGAGAUUCAUUGAUGCAAAGCUAGCAUAUUCAUAGGGCCCCCUUUCAUAGGAAAAAAAAAUUGGUUGAUUAAAUAGGGAAUCACUGGAGCGGGCCCCUCCCAAGUUAGUCAGCAGCAGCAACCCCCCCCCCCCCCCAAAUAGAAAAGUUCUUGAUCGGUCACUGGUGUCAGACAUAUACAUGUAUGUACUGUAGUAUUUGAGACAUAAGAAAAAUAAAAAGAUAUAAAAGUCAAAAUGAUGGUCUUUUAUUCUUUAUAAGGUUUGAAUGACUUAAAUGGAAAGUUUCUAGAAUUGUUCACUUCUCCUAGACAUAGUGAGGUCUCUCAAGUAGCCUAUCAUGACAUGACUUUUCACUGUUUUGCUUCCAAUGGCAUGUAGAUUUCAAAGUGUGGUAACCCCUGCACCUAAAUAAAUCAUUUUCAGUAGAUACAUAUUUUUUUUUCAGACUUUUUGAUGAAAAGUUUAAACUAAUAUACAAAUUAGAAAAAAGAAAACUGAUCAACUUGAACCCACAACAUAUAAUUGAGCUCAGGUGCUCUGGAAGA